CACGCGCGCGGCAAUGCUGUAUUCAAAGGGCUGCGACCCCGAAAGGGGAGGCUAAUCUCAUAACGUACAGCUUGGUUCAGAUCGAGGGUUGCAACUCACCCUCGUGACGCUGGAAUUGGUAGUAAUCGGAUUUUAUCAGAGUCCGGUGAAUAAGUCAAUGCCCCUUGCACUCACCGCCCGUCAAACCAACCGAGUUUUGCAUUGGCGAGGCCCGUAAGGGUCGAACCUUUGUAAGACAAGGUAGGUUAAGUCGUCACAAGGUAUCCGUAGGGGAACCUGCGGAUGGAUCACCUCCU
rnacentral:rRNA from 1 species